UUUAUUCCUAUUUUCAAUAUAAAGUUAGUAGUAUAUAGUUGUAUAGGUAAGUUGCUUAAGUUCAUACUUUGGUUAUUCACUACUGUGGACUUUUAACAUAUAAAGCCUUUACUUUACACCCGUUUAGUUUAAGACUGAUGAACAUUUUCCCCAUAGAAAGUUUUUAUUUAAAAUAAAUAGAAAGACAUAGAAAAAACUGACUUUCAGAAAAGGCACAGAAAUAUUUGUGAAUGGUGCCCAAAAAAUACUACCUGUAUAUACUGUGCAAGUGUUCCUACACUUGGUCAGUAUGUAUGUUGUAUUUCAAAGACUUUCUGACUAUACUCUUGGUUUGAUUUGUGUGUGUUAUCCCAAGAGAAGUAUCCCUGUGUAUUUUAAAAGUCCACCUAAUCUAUUUUUUGCUAAUCUAUGGUUGGAAUUUUAUAGAAAUAGUUUUAUUCUCUCAUUUGCUAGAUGCUGAUUGUUAGUGUAAGAGUUGAUGGGGAAAUUGGAUGUUCCACUUGGUUAUGAUUAAUUGGUUAAUGCUGACAAUAAUUAACAAGAAGAUCAGAAGUUCGAUGGCUGGUGCUCUUUAGCAGAUGCCCUGUACACAAGAUGUGGGAAGGUAGCGGCUACCUAGAUAGACGUGAGGCGCUGGAAGAGCUGCAAUUUCGUACAGCAAAGUGGGCGGGCUCAUCGUUACAGCGAUCGCCGGUGCUGAGGGGUCACCUGUGCAGGUUGCUCUCGCUAUGGGACCAAGCUACCGGCCAGAUGCGGUAUGAUGUGAUGAAUACGCGAUGAUGAAGCUGACAGAGAAGACGGGCGGCUCGCGUUUGACGCGCAUCUUCCGUCCUCCUCCUGAAAUCGACUCAUUAACUGAGUAUUGUGGGAAAGGGACAGAUUCUGAGGAACUCAAAGAAGAGUCGCACAGCACCAGAAACCUCGCUGAGUGAAUCUCGGAGCGAGGAAGCAAGGAUUACAUGGAUGUGUAAAUACAUUGUCAAUGCUGUUUUUAACUUAAACAGUGAGGAUUUCGAAGUGGAAUGUCAAAUUUCGGCCAAAGGCCAAGUACUGGGGGGGGGGACCUAUGAGGUCAUUCAUUGAGAGUACAGGGGGUCUGAAGGGUGUGACGGGAGGAAAGCCUCGAAGCAGUUGCGCUAUGAAACACUUGUCAGAAGAGGGUGGAAAGCAAGAUGGAAGAAAGAAAAUAUGAACGGAGGCACAGUAAAAAGAAUGAAAGGCAUUGCAGCUAGGGGGCCGAAGGGACGCUGCAAAGAGCCGUAGUAACGCCUACAGUGCACUUCACGAGGUGCAAUGAUGGCAAAACGGCCCUACAAGAAGAAACACUAAGAAAAAAUGUUGUCAACUUUUAAAGACAACACAAUUUUACUGGUAUAAUUUUGCUGGUAUAGUGGAUAAUGUCGUGACAUACCUCUCAAAUAUCGCGGGUUCGCGUCUCCCCCAGGGUGAGGAAAAUUCACUGGCUCUGUAUCAUGAUCAGUUAUUGCUGCAGUGUUGGGUCUGCGGUGGGAGGUUGAAACCAACGCUCUUUGGAAGCUUAAAUUUCAAGUCAAUGGCCCGUGUACUUGUUCGAUGUGGGUAGGUUUCAUCUACUGAAAUAAUAAUAAAAAUAAUAAUUAUGAAUUUUGUAUAUACAAGAAAUUAAUCCAGAUGUUGUAGAUUUUUUUUUUAGAUAGGCUUGAUAGUCAGUAAUAUUAGUAUUCAUCGUUCACAUUUUGCAACACAUUUAUUCUGGAAAUAAUUAAAAUCGCAUCUAAUUAUAAUUUUCUGUCUUGUCAUUUUUAGCAGAAACAUGUCGCCACUGAGUGUCUGGGCUGAUAAAAACGCAGCCUUUGAAUUUCAAACAAUUUUCAUACUAGCUGGCCUAUAUUAAAGCACCGAGAAUUUAACUUUUAAACUAGAAAUGGUUUGCCUCCAAGUCGUAUAGGAUAAAACAAGAAAAGUAAGUAUAUGGCUGAUAAUUUGCAUUUUGGCUUAAAGAUAAGUAGUUGAAGUUAUUCAAAUUAGGGUCCAGAGACAGUAAUAAUAACAAACCCAAGAAUCUUUACUGUUAGCAAUAUGAAUAAAUAUUGGCGAUAUUACGAAAAGUAUAACGGCCUUAUCUUUGUGAAAUCGACCCAAAUAACAUGUAAUAAGUUAUAAAAUUUGAUUCAUUCUAAGCCCUAAAUAAACGUUUUAUAUUUUCAUAAUAUAUUAGAUUUAAGAUAACAAUACAAAGAUGAUGUUAUU